AAGUCAGAGGUGAAAUCUUGCAGCUCAACUGUAAAAUUGCCUUUGAUACUGGUAGACUUGAGUCAUUGUGAAGUGGUUAGAAUGUGUGGUGUAGCGGUGAAAUGCAUAGAUAUCACACAGAAUACCGAUUGCGAAGGCAGAUCACUAACAAUGUACUGACGCUCAUGGACGAAAGCGUGGGGAGCGAACAGGAUUAGAUACCCUGGUAGUCCACGCCGUAAACGAUGGAUACUAACUGUUCGACCUUCGGGUUGAGUGGUUAAGCGAAAGUGAUAAGUAUCCCACCUGGGGAGUACGCUCGCAAGAGUGAAACUCAAAUGAAU
rnacentral:rRNA from 1 species